rnacentral:rRNA from 1 species
UACGUAGGCAGCAAGCGUUGUUCGGAGUUACUGGGCGUAAAGGGUGUGUAGGCGGUUCCUUAAGUUUGCUGUGAAAUCUCCCGGCUUAACCGGGAGGGUGCGGUGAAUACUGAGGGACUAGAGUACGGGAGAGGAAAGUGGAAUUCCUGGUGUAGCGGUGGAAAUGCGUAGAUAUCAGGAGGAACACCGGUGGUGUAGACGGCUUUCUGGACCGUAACUGACGCUGAGACACGAAAGCGUGGGUAGCAAACAGG